rnacentral:rRNA from 1 species
CAGCCGCCACGGUAAUACGUAGGGUGCGAGCGUUGUCCGGAAUUAUUGGGCGUAAAGAGCUCGUAGGCGGUGUGUCACGUCGAUCGUGAAAACUUGGGGCUUAACUCUGAGCUUGCGGUCGAUACGGGCAUCACUUGAGUUCGGCAGGGGAGACUGGAAUUCCUGGUGUAGCGGUGAAAUGCGCAGAUAUCAGGAGGAACACCGGUGGCGAAGGCGGGUCUCUGGGCCGAUACUGACGCUGAGGAGCGAAAGCGUGGGGAGCGAACAGGAUUAGAUACCCCCGUAGUCCCUGUCUCUUAUA